GUGUGUAAGUCUCUCUCUCUCUCUCUCUCUCUCUCUCUCUCUCUCUCUCUGAGUGUGUGUGUGUGUGUGUGUGUGUGAGAGAGAGAGAGAGAGAGAGAGACAAAGUGAGUUUUGGAGUUGAAUUGGGGG
rnacentral:miRNA from 1 species